rnacentral:rRNA from 1 species
UACAGAGGGGCAAGCGUUGUUCGGAAUUACUGGGCAUAAAGGGUGCGUAGGCGGCUUCCUAAGUUUGAUGUGAAAUCCUGGGGCUCAACCCUGGAACUGCAUUGAAUACUGGGAGGCUAGAGUACUGGAGGGAACUGGAAUUACGGUGUAGCAGUGAAAUGCGUAGAGAUCGUAAGGAAGACCAGUGGCGAAGGCGAGUUUCUGGACAGUUACUGACGCUGAGGCACGAAGGCCAGGGGAGCAAACGGGA